rnacentral:rRNA from 1 species
AUACGUAGGGGGCAAGCGUUGUCCGGAAUUAUUGGGCGUAAAGCGCGCGCAGGCGGUCAUUUAAGUCUCGUGUUUAAGCCCGGAGCUCAACUCCGGUACGCAUGGGAAACUGGGUGGCUUGAGUACAGAAGAGGAGAGUGGAAUUCCACGUGUAGCGGUGAAAUGCGUAGAGAUGUGGAGGAACACCAGUGGCGAAGGCGGCUCUCUGGUCUGUAACUGACGCUGAGGCGCGAAAGCGUGGGUAGCAAACAGGAUUAGAUACCCUGGUAGUCCACGCCGUAAACGAUGAAUGCUAGGUGUUAGGGGGGAUAGACCCCUUAGUGCCGAAGUUAACACAUUAAGCAUUCCGCCUGGGGAGUACGGUCGCAAGACUGAA